GACGAACGCUGGCGGCGUGCCUAGUACAUGCAAGUUGAGCGCUGAAGGUUGGUACUUGUACCAACUGGAUGAGCAGCGAACGGGUGAGUAACGCGUGGGGAAUCUGCCUUUGAGCGGGGGACAACAUUUGGAAACGAAUGCUAAUACCGCAUAAAAACUUUAAACACAAGUUUUAAGUUUGAAAGAUGCAAUUGCAUCACUCAAAGAUGAUCCCGCGUUGUAUUAGCUAGUUGGUGAGGUAAAGGCUCACCAAGGCGAUGAUACAUAGCCGACCUGAGAGGGUGAUCGGCCACAUUGGGACUGGGACACGGCCCAAACGCCUACGGGAGGCAGCAGUAGGGAAUCUUCGGCAAUGGACGAAAGUCUGACCGAGCAACGCCGCGGGAGUGAAGAAGGUUGUCGGAUCGUAAAACUCUGUUGGUAGAGAAGAACGUUGGUGAGAGUGGAAAGCUCAUCAAGUGACGGUAACUACCCAGAAAGGGACGGCUAACUACGUG
rnacentral:rRNA from 1 species